UACCAUCACCCCGAGUGGUCGGGACGUUUAUUGGGCCUAAAGCCUCCGUAGCCGGUUCUACAAGUCUUCCGUUAAAUCCAGCUGCUUAACAGAUGGGCUGCGGAAGAUACUAUGGAGCUAGGAGGCGGGAGAGGCAAGCGGUACUCGAUGGGUAGGGGUAAAAUCCGUUGAUCCAUUGAAGACCACCAGUGGCGAAGGCGGCUUGCCAGAACGCGCUCGACGGUGAGGGAUGAAAGCUGGGGGAGCAAACCGG
rnacentral:rRNA from 1 species